GUCCAGCUCAAUAUCGUGAGCUUGUAACCCAAGUGGGGGCAAUAGAGUCGUUGGACAAUGGGUUAGCCCUGAAAGAUUAGGUUUAGUGGUGCAAUUUACUGACCGAGGCGAAGGCUUGAGCCAUGUGGUUCCUAAAGAUGAGGGCAAUGCAUCAGGCUGGCUCCACAGAGCAACGACUACCUCUUGCUCUUGAUGGGGGAAGGAUUACGGGUCGGGGCACCCUUGACCCGAUAACACCCUAAGAGCUGGUCUCCAUUGAACAACCACUUUU
rnacentral:SRP_RNA from 1 species